rnacentral:rRNA from 1 species
GCUUAUGGCCACACCGCCUGGUUCACGGCUGAUCUCGUUUGAUCUCGGAAGCUAUGAUAGGUUGGGCCUGGUUAGUACUUUGGAUGGGAGACCGCCUGGGAAAUACCAGGUGUUGUAAGAU